ensembl:misc_RNA 7SK 7SK RNA
GGAUGUGAGGGCGAUCUGGCUGCGACAUCUGUCACCCCAUUGAUCGCCAGGGUUGAUUCGGCUGAUCUGGCUGGCUAGGCGGGUGUCCCCUUCCUCCCUCACCGCUCCAUGUGCGUCCCUCCCGAAGCUGCGCGCUCGGUCGAAGAGGACGGCCUUCCCCGAAUAGAGACGGACCGGUCUUCGGUCGAGGGUAUACGAGUAGCUGCGCUCCCCUGCUAGAACCUCCAAACAAGCUCUCAAAAUGGGUGGGGCUGAGAGGCGGCUCUCCCACAUGCUUGACUGGGGCGGGGAACAAGGUUCAAGCCUCUGGCC